GAUUAUUUCACUCUUCGACAUGGAUUCGUAACGGCUCAUUUUGCAGAAAGAAGCAAUUUUUACUUCCACAAAUAUAUCAGAAGAGCUCUGGAGAAAGAUUAUGGUGUAGUUAUGAGUACAAGCUGGUGGAUUUGGAUGUACUCAGUCUUCAUUAUAUUUUUGAAUGCACAUGGUAACAUGCUCUGAAUCCACUUAUUU